UCCAGUGUGGCGUAGUGGUUUGAGCAUUGGACUAUGAAUCUGGAGACCAGGGUUCAAUUCCCCAUUUGGCAA
rnacentral:tRNA from 1 species